UGGAUGUUCCCCGCGGUCAUCAACUGCACCGUUGGUGUGCUCACUGGCUAUGAGAAAUAAAGGAACAGCGGUGAGAAAUUUUGUGUUGUAUGAGCUGACGAUGUUUGUUACAGUGCAGGGAAAUCAAAACACUUCGGCUCCUUCCGCAUGAGCAGUCCAUCACCUUGGUCAUGAGCAGUCCAUCGCCUCGCAAGCUAGCAAUUUGUUGCCGAUGCUGCUCCUCUUGAUCACGUAGACCGAGCUGCUGCUUUGUCGAUUGGCCGUCCUGCACCCUGUCGCCGGCUCCCUCGAGCUCUGCCGCCCUUCUGGUCCAUCCUCUGCCCAUGAACCGCUGGACCCCGAGCUCGACUAGCCUUAGUCGUGUGUGCGAGUAUGCACUGGUGCGCUCUGUUUUUAGUGUGUUCGUGUGUGCGAGCACUGUUUUGGCUGCGUACGUGUGUGGUGUUGUGUUGGAAAGUUCAGCUAUUGUAUCUCGGAAAGAUCUAAUUUAUUUUCAGUAAGGAUACUGCCUCAAUGCCUUCUUAAAUCAAACAUUUAGCUUGCUAUAUGCGUUUGGAGAAAAGCAUAAACAAGAUAAUGCAAAAACCGGCACUGGUUGGAUAAGCUGAGAGAAGAUGCUAAUUUUGUGGUGGAGAAUUGUAGUGACGCCAAGUUAGUGCUUGUUUUGCGUAUAAAACAUGAUUAAGUGCAUGUAAUUACUGUAUGACCAGGCCACUGGAGAUUUUAUUUUGUAGGUGUGCAGUGUCUUUUCGCUACUGAUCCUUAUGGUCAAUGAUCUCCAAAUUUUAUUGUCUUUACUCUGCGUGUUUUAUUUUUUAUAUAAAAAGGAAAGAAGUUCAUAUAUACAAAAU
rnacentral:lncRNA from 1 species